AACUGAAAACAAAUUUCUUUCUAGCAGUCAUAUUUUUGGAGGGUAUGGAUAAACUGAUCGAUACAGCUCGGCAUAUACCAUAUUACAUUGAAGGUGUAGGACGUUUCCUGUCAUAUUCUACUCUCGGCGACAGACACUGGAGCCAAAUCGAAAUGCUCCUCCAUGUUAGACUUCGUAUUGUAGCCCUACUAUGUAAACUAUACCUUAUUGGUAUUGGACUUGUAUGUCAUCAUUAUAUAUAUGUGAUAGGCCACCCCUUUGAGGGUUGAGCCAGUUCCCUCCAAACCUACAUUUUCUGAUGUGUGGGGUCCGGCACAAACAUCUGUUAGUGGUCACAACUAUUAUGUCAGUUUUGUUGAUGCCUAUAGUCGCUUCACUUGGUUUUAUCUUCUUAAGUGCAAAUCUGAUGUGUUUGAUAUAUUCAUACAGUUUCAAUUGCAUGUUGACCGUCUACUCAAGCAUACAAUUAUCCAUGUUCAAUCAGAUUGGGGGGGGGCAAAUAUCACAACCUUAACACCUUCUUUAAUAAGCUUGGGAUCUCUCAUCGUUUAUCAUGCCCGCAUACACAUCAGCAGAAUGGCGCUGUUGAGCGCAAACAUCGCCAUAUAGUUGAGACCAGCCUCGCACUUCUUGCUCAUGCUUCUGUACCCUUUCGUUUUUGGAGUGAUGCUUUUGCUACCGCGUGUUUUCUCAUUAACAGAUUACCUACGCGUGUUCUUAAUAUGAAAACUUCGAUUGAGCUUCUCUUAGGUGAAACUCCUGACUAUACCUUUUUUAAGGUGUUCGGGUGUGCCUGCUGGCCUCAUCUUCGUCCUUAUAAUGAUCGCAAAUUUGAGUUUCGCUCCAAAAAGUAUGUGUUCUUAGGGUAUAGUUCUCUCCAUAAAGGCUACAAGUGUCUCCAUGUCCCAACCAAUCGAGUCUACAUAUCUCGGGAUGUUGUUUCUGAUGAGACCGUCUUCCCCUUUUCUGCCAUGCCUCAGUCAUCCACCACAACACCUUCUAUGCAGUCAUCUCCUCUUAUGCCUGGCCAAUUUAAAGAUAUUGCAUAUUCGCCUGUGUUGUUACCUAAUCAUGGUGCAGGAAUUGGACGUGGAGCUCGCCUGGAACUCCUCCCUGACGGACCCGCCACAUCGCCUGUGGUGCACGUCGAUCGGCCGGUGCAUGCACCGCCUCCCGCCCUCGACCCCGCACCAGGCGCCCCGUCUACAAAUCGAGCCUGGGCCGGAGCCCAUGCUGGCUACUGCGACCGUGCCAGAGCCUGCGACGGCCUCCUCUGAGCAGUCUCCGUCGCCACCUCCUCGCCCGGACUCCCCUCCAUCGUCGCCAUCGCCAUCCGCGCGGGCGUCCUUGGUGCCUACUUCGCCCGAGUCUGCAGCGGCUCACACACCGCCGGGGCCUACGUCGCCUGGCCUGCUGUCGCCUGGUCCGCCGUCGCCCGGCCCGACGUCACCCGGUUCUUCUUCGUUGGAGUCCCCUGGACCAGCCUCACCUGCUCCGGACAUCCCGCCGGCCCCGGUGUUUGCUCCCCCGCGGCGUCCACACACUCGCAGCUGCAGUGGCAUUGUUCGUCCCAAGGAGCGCACCGAUGGCACGGUCACCUAUCUUGCUGCUUGCCUGGCUCAUGCUGUGGAUGAUCCAACCGCCAAACCACGCAGUUAUCAAGCCGCUAUGAGUAUUCCACACUGGAGGGCUGCUAUGGAACAAGAAUAUCACGCUCUUAUGAAGAAUAGACCUGGACACUUGUUCCCCCUCCGUCUCGCGUCAACAUCAUUGAUUCAAAGUGGGUGUUCAAGGUGAAGAAACAUGCAGAUGGUUCCAUUGAGCGCUACAAAGCGCGCCUCGUGGCUAAGGGCUUUAAACAGCGUUAGGGCCUGGACUAUGAGGAUACAUUCAGCCCAGUUGUCAAGCCUACCACUAUUCGACUUCUUCUGUCUCUGGCAGUUUCUCGCGGAUGGUCUCUCCGCCAGCUUGAUGUGCAGAACGCUUUUCUUCAUGGAUUGCUUGAAGAAGAGGUUUACAUGCGGCAGCCACCUGGAUUUGUUGAUCACACUCAGCCUCAUCAUCUCUGUCAUCUGACGAAGGCCAUAUAUGGACUACAGUAGGCUCCCCGUGCCUGGCAUGCUCGCCUGGCUUCAGCUCUACGCACUCAUGGGUUCAUUCCUUCGACGGUUGAUACUUCACUGUUCUUGUUUCAGCGACCGAGUGUGACCAUGUACCUCCUUGUGUAUGUGGAUGAUAUUGUCCUGGUGAGCUCAUCCCCGACGGCUGCUGAUGCUCUUGUGACUGCACUUGGUCGUGAUUUUGCAGUUAAGGAUUUGGGACAGCUUCAUUUCUUCCUGGGUAUUGAGGUCGCUCAUCAGUAUCGUGGCAGUUUGGCUCUCACCCAGAAGAAGUACUCUCUUGAUCUCUUGGACCGUGCUGGUAUGCUCAAGUGCAAGCCAUCGCCUACGCCCAUGUCCUCCACUGACACCCUUUCUGCUGCUGAUGGUGCUCUUCUCUCUCCUGAGGAUGCUACUGAGUACAGGAGUAUUGUUGGUGGCCUGCAGUAUCUGACGAUCACGCGUCCUGAUCUCUCCUUUGCGGUUAACAGGGUGUGCCAGUAUCUUCAUGCUCCCACUGAUGUACAUUGGUCUGCUGUGAAGCGCAUACUGCGUUAUGUGCGUCUCACUGUCUCCUUUGAUCUUCACCUGCGCCCCAGUUCCUCCGGAGUUCUUUCUGCAUUCUCUGAUGCUGAUUGGGCCGGGUGUCCAGAUGACAGGUGAUCCAUGGGGGGACAUGCUGUGUUCUUGGGUCCUAAUCUGAUCGCCUGGAGUGCACGCAAGCAAGCCACUGUUUCCCGCAGCAGCACAGAAGCUGAGUACAAGUCGGUUGCCAAUGCAACUGCUGAACUUAUAUGGAUUGAGUCCCUACUUCGAGAGCUAGGAGUUGCUCAGCCACAUCCUUCGGUCGUUUGGUGUGACAACAUCGGUGCUACGUUUCUGUCGUCAAACCCGGUGUUCCAUGCACGGACUAAACACAUUGAGAUUGACUAUCAUUUUGUAAGGGAACGUGUUGCACAUAAGCUACUACAAGUCAGGUUUAUCUCUUCAAAAGAUCAACUUGCGGACAUCUUCACCAAGCCUCUACCUUCUCACAUGUUUGAGGUCUGUAGGCGCAAUCUCAACCUCCUAAAUACUUCAGGAGUGAGUUGAGAUUGAGGGAGGGUGUUAGACUUCGUAUUGUAGCCCUACUGUGUAAACCAUACCUUAUUGGUAUUGGACUUGUAUGUCAUCAUUAUAUAUAUGUGAUAGGCCACCCCUUUGAGGGUUGAGCCAGUUCCCCCAAAACCUAGGUUUUACACUCCAGCACCGACAGUAUCUUCGGUGAGUGAAGACACCAUGAAGUCAGGCUUAACAUCUUCAGGCAAAGAAUCUUGGGUGUUGCGAGCAAUCAAGAUCAUCAAUUUGACUUGUCGUGGUGCGAGCGGAUGAGCGACAAGGGAUGAUCUGCAACGAGCCAAGACUGGAGAAGCACGGAAAACAAGGGUCAAGAUUAGGGAGAGAAUGUUAGAGUAAUCUUGUCUAGGUUAGUUAAUCUGUCCUUACAAGUUAGUUGUAGUUUGACUUGUACACGUUGUCUUAGCUGAAUCCUACUAAAGUUAGUAGAAGCUAGCGGUUUGUCAUUACCGUGUGUAGGCAGGUCAAGUAGUACGUGUGCAUGUCCAUGUACGACUACUAGUCAAGCUUGGUCUAGGUGUCCGGUUUGGAUUUAAAGUGGUGUCCGUAUACGUCUAGGUUUGAUUUAGGUCGGUAGCUUUAGGAUGCGGGUAUACGUGAUCACUGUAACACGUAGAGAAAACAAGAAAAUAAAAAGGAGAAACAAAGGGCACGACAAGAGCCCUUGACUACAAAAGUUUUUUGUGCGACCGUGAUGUGAUCGAUCCCGUGGGCAAAUCCCAACAUUAGGGGCCGUAUCGCCCUGUUUCGUCAAGUAGGCAAGUGAAUGUUCCUGCUCUCUUUCCACAAACGGUCUGCAAGGUUUUCAAAGGCAAGAGCACUAUGGAGAUUUCCUUUUCUGCUAUUAAUUCUCCCAUCUUGUAUUUACUUCUUCUUGUGUUAAAACAAGGUAGCCUGGGGAAUUGUAUUCUCCUAAGAGUUGGUCUAUGGGAAAGAAGAGCUCUGCAAAUAAGUAAAGCGGGUGGCCUUGGCGUUUCAUGAACAGAGGCGAGUCAAGGUGAAAGUUUAAGAGCAAUGGUUUGGAGGGAAGACCGCAGCUGGCUUGGCAGAGGUGGCUUGAGCAGGGUAUGGCUUGCGAGGCGCCAGAAACGUGUUCUAUGGCAGAGAUUGACCACUCAUUAUCUAUUAUCUGGCUGUAAAGUAGAUAUAACUUUUCCCUUUCCUUCAUCAGAUCUUUCUCAGAGAAUACUUUUAUAACUUCAACUAACUUUCUUGUAAUAUCUUCUUCCCCUGUAUAAAGUAUGGAUGGAAAGAUGAAAUCUCAAUAGUCGGGAAUAGAUAUUGUAGGACUAAAAAUGUUGUAAACAAAACAUAGCAGAAGAGAUCAAAUUUGAACUACAACAUCUUCAUGAAGAAUUUGUCAAAAUCGUGAACAUUUUUUACAAAUUCAUGAACAUUCUCUUAAAUCGUGAACAUAUUUUUCAAAUUUGUGAACAUUUUUUGAAUUCAUGAGCAUUGUUUGACUCAUGAAUAUAUUUUAAAAUUCAUGAAAAAAUUUAGAAAUCAUGAAAUUUGUUAAAUUCAUCAACAUUCUUACAGAUUUGUGAAUAUUCUCUUGAAUCAUGAUUUUUUCUCGAAUUCAUGAACAUUUUCUUAGUUCAUAAACAAAUUUUAACUUCGUGAAUAUUUUUCACAAAUUCGUUAACAUUCUCUUAAACCGUGAACAUUUUUUAAAAUCAUGAACAUAAUUUGAAUUCACGAAUAUUUUUUUCAAAAUUUGCAACUAUUUUUAUAUUGAGAACUUUUUGAUAUCCUGCAUUAUUGAAAAAACAUAGGGAAAAAACUAAAGGAAAAAACAGGGAGGGUGCACGUGGGUCGCCGAAUAGGAGGGCCCACCAUGCCGCUAGGAUAAAUGUGGCCCAAUUCAACCAUUGGGUCUAACCCUACAUGUUUUUGGAAAAUGGGUUUGGCCCAGCACGGACUAUGAGACUACAAAAAGGAACUUAUCUUAUAUUGGAUCACACAACUUAGAUCGGUUUAUUGGUUAUGACUUGCAAGCCUAUGAUUGAGGGUGUCAGUUCGACCCAUACACAGGCGCCUGGGUGGGCGAAGAGUUUUUUAAAUAUAACCAUCAUGCCCUUUGUUAUGAAGGGAUAUGGUUUAAUCUCAGCCAUCAAUGUAUUUAGGGGUUGUACUGAAGAAGAAGUGUUAUUUGUUUUCUUUUGGCUUCAUCGAUAUGGAAUUAUUUAGUUUACUCCUGAUGUUUUCCUUUGACUAGCUAAAUAUCGAUGUUGCUACGGACAGAAAAUUUAGAUUAUCCAACAUGUUAUACAAUUGUCGUGCUUGAAGACGACAAUUGAUUCAUAUUGAUACUUCGCGUCAACAAUUUAGAUUAUCCAACAUGCCAAAUAAAUGGAGUUGUCGUGCUUGAAGAGGGCCAUUGAUUUUAUAUUAGUUCUCGACUGAGCACCCCCACAUCUGGCUACAAAUUGAUAUUUUCGCGGGUGUGUGCCCCCACAUCUGCGUGCCCCUGCAAUUUUUUGACCUAGAGGGCAGCGUUUUUCACGUCUGGAUUAGCAUCGUCCACCAAGCACUGACCGUCGAGGUGCGUUUUGUUGGCUAUUUCAUCGCUCCAAAGACGGUGAAAUGAUUUGCGUGUUUGAGUGAGCCGUUCACGUGAUGUUCGGCGUGGAAGCUUACAUCUAGUACAGUUCUCCGUGGAAGGCGGUCCGAGCCCAUUAUACGUUGGACGACCAUGCCAUCUACAACGGAAGUUGCUUCCUCUUUGACAACGUCCUCCCCAUCGAUCUACAACACCACACAAUGCCUACCGAAGGAGAUUUGUCACUAGUAUACCUCUAUGACGACACACCAUACGUUUAAUGAGCUGCAACUUAGGCUGCGUCUAAGCCUUUGAGCCCCACAACGAACUUCAGAUCGUCCCUGAGAUCAACUUGAUGGCAUCGACGCCCACCACUUUGUCAACAGGGUACAAAACCACGCCAUGUCCAUCGUGUCGGUGCCCAACUCAUUCACAUCACCUUUAUCCAUGACCACCUUUGACGUUGUCCUCGAGCCCGCUGCACCAAUGUGAAGCUAGGGAAUUGGAACAAUGUGGUACGACCGCAGGUGCGAGCUCAUGCGGUCAUACCACAUGUCGCCUUCUCAUGUAGACGACUUCUUGUGAUCCACUUUGUGCGGAACUAAACAUAUCUAUAACUAUUUCCUUAAUAUGGUCAUAUUUCCUUCAUAAUGUCCAUAUAUACAACAAACCAUUCAGAUAAGGAUAUUUGCACAUCUUUGUAUUAGUAAUUAGUAGUAAAGUUGAUGUAAUAAUCAUAGAACUAUUUGACAAUGUUAAUUUUAAACUAGAGAAAAAAUAUAAUUAUAAAAUCCAGUAAUCAGAGCUUGUGGGGUCGGUAUAGUAAACUCUUUGAACAGGACUAGAUCAUGAGCAUGGCGGGAGCAAGGAAGGAGACAGCGUAAUAUUCCUUGUUUUCCCGUGGGAUGCUUAUUUGACUUGACACAUUCUGAUAGCAGGAAAACCAUGUGAGCACUAAGGUGGCAAUGCUGAAAACAAGCUACCGUACAACCGGUUCCAUGGUUGCCUUCUUACUCGUUGUCUCAUCGGCCCUCAGACUAUUCAUCUGUGAGUCUUUGGUGCAAGAGAUGGUAGAAACUGUGGAGAAGAUACUUCGGCUAAACCAAGUCAACAUGUUGAUGCUCAUGUAUAAAAUUAUCAAAAAUUAUUGUUUUUUGCGAGUUGGAUUCUCUAGUCAGCCGCAUACCAGUAUAUCAAGCUUUUGUGCCAAUAUCUAUUUAUUGGGAAUCUUUUAGGGCCGCCCCACCCUAAUUUAAAUUUUAUACUAAGCUUUUAUACCUCCUUAAAUUUAUUUUUCUCAUACUUAUAAUUUUCAGCUUAUAAGUUGAUAUAGUUAAGCAUAUAAUUAUGUUAAUUACUAAAGAUUUUUAUAGUGUUAUUUGCUAUACAUUUGUAAUGUAGAUCAUUGCAUUUUUUUCCUUUGUGCUAAAUUUAAACAAUGUGUUUCAAAGCUCUCUUUGAAUUAAUUUUUACAAUUGCAUAAAUUUUAGUAUUAGUAUUAAAUAUCAUGGUAGAGAUCUCUACAAUCUAACUAAUAUCAUAAUAAGGAUAUCUAGACUAUUAUUUGAUAAGCAUAUUUAAAGAAACUUCUAGAAUAUGUAACCUCUGACAAACAUAAAAAACAAAUGAUUCUACUUUUGCAUAUGUACACCUUUUGCUGGCAAACUAAAACCCUUAUUAUAUUCCCAUAUUAUUAGGGAUAAAUCCCACAAGAAAGUACAUAUGUUACGACAACUAGCGACAAGAAAAUAAAAAAUAUACAAGCAUGCAUGCCACCAAGCAUGUGUACUACUACGUCUAAAACGUAUUUAUAUUGUUUGAUUUUUGUAAUGCUAUUAAAAUAUCAAUUUUGUAUAUUUUUUAUAGCAUUAUAUAUUAUUUUUCUGGACUAACCUAUUAAUCUAGUGCCUAGUGCCAAUUGCUAUUUUUUGCAUGUUUUCAAUUUUACAGAAAAUCCAUAUCUACGAAGGCCUAAAAAUCCUGACAAUUGAAUAAGAUUUUUUCGGGGCACGAAGGUUCCAGGAAGCAUCGGAGGGAAGCGAGAGGAGCCACCCCNNNNNNNNNNNNNNNNNNNNNNNNNNNNNNNNNNNNNNNNNNNNNNNNNNNNNNNNNNNNNNNNNNNNNNNNNNNNNNNNNNNNNNNNNNNNNNNNNNNNNNNNNNNNNNNNNNNNNNNNNNNNNNNNNNNNNNNNNNNNNNNNNNNNNNNNNNNNNNNNNNNNNNNNNNNNNNNNNNNNNNNNNNNNNNNNNNNNNNNNNNNNNNNNNNNCACCCCUAGGUUGUGUGGUGCCCACACUUACCGCCUUUUGUCCAUUCCACCGCCAUAAAUUCCUAUAAAUAGAGAAACCAUCCGAGAUAUUGUUAUAAGAUUUUUUCGCCGCCACAAGAUUCUGUUCCGAGGAGAUCCAAUCUAGAGGCAUGUUCCGCUACUCUCCCGGAGGCUUUUCCACAACCUUGCUACCUCCAUGACCAUGUGUAGUAGUUUUCUUAGGACCUUAGGGUCCAUACCAGUAGCUAGAUGGCCCUCUCUUUCUCUUUGAUCUUCAAUACCAAAUUCCCGUGAGUUGCCUCACAUGAUCGGGAUCCACCUGAUAUGAUUUGUGGAUGUGUUUUGUUGGGAUAUGAUGAAUAGUCACUUCAAGAUCAGAUUGUCCAUUGAAUACAAUUGAAUAUUUUGAGGAUUUCUUGCUGUAUAAUUAAAUAGCUUUGCAUGCUCUCCAAUCUAUCUAUUUUUUUGGCCAAGUUUGAUGGGUUUUCUUCGUAGAGACUGGUGCUUUGUAGUGGGUUCUAAUCUUGGAGUGAUCUAUCUAUAUCCCAAUGACAGAAUGGAGAGAAGACUCGUAUUGUAUUUUGCAACUAAAAAUAAAACAACGGUGUCUCAUCAUAUUGCUUAAUGUUUUCUUGUCUACAUUAUGUCAUCAUGCUUAUUGCAAUCCUCUAUUUUUGUAAACUUAAUACUUUGAUAUGCAUGUUGGAUAGCCGUCUUGGGGUGGAAUAUUAGUAGUAGAUGUAAUUUGAUUAACGGUUUACUUAUCAUGAACGUAAUGCCUAUAUGAGAUUAUACCAUGAAUGAUCAUAGUCAAAAAUAGCCAUGCUUGCGUGGGCGUUCAACACCACCAAUAUGAUGCCAGUGACAACAUCAUCUAUGGUUUUCUUUCGACAGAAACUAUACUCUACUACUCCCUCCAUCCCAAAAUAAAUGACUCAACUUUAUACUUGCUUUAGUAUAAAGUUAGUACAAAGUUGAGUCAAGUUAGUACAAAGUUGAGUCACUUAUUUUGGUAUGAGGGAGUACUAAAUUCCAGUCACCAGCUAUAUAUGCGCAUUAGGCAUUCAUGAGUGCGAAUUUCACGGCCAUAAUUCCUCGGAGCCUGAUGCAUCCGUAAUCAACACCAUGCUUGAAGCUGCAUCUACGGUCAGAACUGAAAACAAAUUUCUUUCUAGCAGUCAUAUUUUUGGAGGGUAUGGAUAAACUGAUCGAUACAGCUCAACAUAUACCAUAUUACAUUCAAGGUGUACGACGUUUUCUGUCAUAUUCUACUCUCGGCGACAGACACUGGAGCCAAAUCGAAAUGCUCCUCAAGCACCGACAGUACUUCGGGGAGUGAAGACACCAUGAAGUCAGGCUUAACAUCUUCAGGCAAAGAAUCGUGGGGGCCGUAUCGCCCAGUUUCGUCAAGUAGGCA
rnacentral:lncRNA from 1 species